UACCUGCAGCUCGAGUGGUAACCGCUAUUAUUGGGCCUAAAGCGUCCGUAGCCGGUUUGGUAAAUAUCUGGGUAAAUCGUGAGGCUUAACUUCACGAAUUUCGGAUAGACUGCCAGACUUGGGAUCGGGGGAGGUCAGAGGUACUCCAGGGGUAGCGGUGAAAUGUUGUAAUCCUUGGAGGACCACCGGUAGCGAAGGCGUCUGACUAGAACGAGUCCGACGGUGAGGGACGAAGCCCUGGGGCGCAAACCGGAUUAGAUACCCGGGUAGUCCAGGGUGUAAACGAUGUGGGCUUUGUAUUGGAGGUCCCACGUGGGCGUCCAGUGCAGAAGAGAAGUUGUUAAGCCCACCGCCUGGGAAGUACGGUCGCAAGGCUGAAACUUAAAGGAAUUGGCGGGGGAGCACAGCAACGGGAGGAGUGUGCGGUUU
rnacentral:rRNA from 1 species